AGUAGAAUUGCUGGAUCAUAUGGUAGUUCUGCAUUUAACUUUUUGAAAAAUUGCCAACAUGCUUUUCACAGUGGCAGUAUCAUUUGACAUUCCCAUCAGCAAU
rnacentral:pre_miRNA from 1 species